rnacentral:sRNA from 1 species
AUUCUACCCAUGUGGGGAAGGAUGAGAAGCUUCGACUAAGGUUCGAUUCGAGCGCAGCGAGAAAGCGUUGCCGCAGGCAACGACCCGAAGGGCGAAGCGCGCAGCGCUGAGUC